UAGGGAAUCUUCCGCAAUGGGCGAAAGCCUGACGGAGCAACGCCGCGUGAGUGAUGAAGGUCUUCGGAUCGUAAAACUCUGUUAUUAGGGAAGAACAAAUGUGUAAGUAACUAUGCACGUCUUGACGGUACCUAAUCAGAAAGCCACGGCUAACUACGUGCCAGCAGCCGCGGUAAUACGUAGGUGGCAAGCGUUAUCCGGAAUUAUUGGGCGUAAAGCGCGCGUAGGCGGUUUUUUAAGUCUGAUGUGAAAGCCCACGGCUCAACCGUGGAGGGUCAUUGGAAACUGGAAAACUUGAGUGCAGAAGAGGAAAGUGGAAUUCCAUGUGUAGCGGUGAAAUGCGCAGAGAUAUGGAGGAACACCAGUGGCGAAGGCGACUUUCUGGUCUGUAACUGACGCUGAUGUGCGAAAGCGUGGGGGUCAAACAGG
rnacentral:rRNA from 2 species